rnacentral:rRNA from 1 species
AGUCGACGGUAGCACAGAGAGCUUGCUCUCGGGUGACGAGUGGCGGACGGGUGAGUAAUGUCUGGGAAACUGCCUGAUGGAGGGGGAUAACUACUGGAAACGGUAGCUAAUACCGCAUAACGUCGCAAGACCAAAGAGGGGGACCUUCGGGCCUCUUGCCAUCAGAUGUGCCCAGAUGGGAUUAGCUAGUAGGUGGGGUAACGGCUCACCUAGGCGACGAUCCCUAGCUGGUCUGAGAGGAUGACCAGCCACACUGGAACUGAGACACGGUCCAGACUCCUACGGGAGGCAGCAGUGGGGAAUAUUGCACAAUGGGCGCAAGCCUGAUGCAGCCAUGCCGCGUGUAUGAAGAAGGCCUUCGGGUUGUAAAGUACUUUCAGCGGGGAGGAAGGGUGUUGUGGUUAAUAACCACAGCAAUUGACGUUACCCGCAGAAGAAGCACCGGCUAACUCCGUGCCAGCAGCCGCGGUAAUACGGAGGGUGCAAGCGUUAAUCGGAAUUACUGGGCGUAAAGCGCACGCAGGCGGUCUGUCAAGUCGGAUGUGAAAUCCCCGGGCUCAACCUGGGAACUGCAUUCGAAACUGGCAGGCUAGAGUCUU